UCGCAAUCUUCUUUAUCGAUUUGAACUCUCAAAAAAAAUUACGCUGUUAUCCCUAAGGUAACUUAUUCUUUUAAUCUAAAAUAUAGGAUCAACUAAUCAUAAAUUUAUGAUUUAAUUUUAAAAAAAGUUUAGCUAAUUUUUCUGUCACCCCAACCAAACAAGUGCACAGCAAUAAAAUUUCUAUGCCAAUAAUUUAUUGCCAAUGAAUAUGUAAAGCUCUAUAGGGUCUUCUUGUCUUCUAUAGUCAUUUAAGCUUUUUCACUUAAAAAUAAAAUUCUAAAAAAUUUCUUCUGAGACAGUGGGUUUUUCAUCAAUCCUUUCAUUCCAGCUUCUAAUUAAGAAACUAAUUAUUAUGCUACCUUUGCACGGUCAAUAUACCGCGGCCAUUAAAAAUAAUUCAUUGGGCAGGAACGACCUUAAAUUAAAGUCAAAAGCC
rnacentral:rRNA from 1 species